CUACGGGCGGCUCCAGUGGGGAAUAUUGCACAAUGGAGGAAACUCUGAUGCAGCAACGCCGCGUGGAGGAUGACACUUUUCGGAGCGUAAACUCCUUUUAUAUAGGAAGAAGAUGACGGUACUAUAUGAAUAAGCGCCGGCUAACUCCGUGCCAGCAGCCGCGGUAAUACGGAGGGCGCAAGCGUUACUCGGAAUCACUGGGCGUAAAGAGCGUGUAGGCGGAUUAAAAAGUCAGAAGUGAAAUCCUAUAGCUUAACUAUAGAACUGCUUCUGAAACUCUUAAUCUAGAAUAUGGGAGAGGUAGAUGGAAUUUCUGGUGUAGGGGUAAAAUCCGUAGAGAUCAGAAGGAAUACCGAUUGCGAAGGCGAUCUACUAGAACAUUAUUGACGCUGAGACGCGAAAGCGUGGGGAGCAAACAGGAUUAGAUACCUUGUAGUC
rnacentral:rRNA from 1 species